GAGGGUAUAGCUCAGUAGUAGAGUACGCACUUAGCAUGUAGGAGGUCCUGGGUUCAAUCCCCACUACCUCCA
rnacentral:tRNA from 1 species